UGUCACUUCAGGGGGCGUGGUUAUAUGGAUCACUUGGUAGGAGGCUCUUUGAAGAAAUACAAAAGCUCAGGUUCUGAAAGCAAAUGAGAAAGUUGAGCCGAGAAAGUAAGGAUUAACAGCAGCUUUUUCUCUCACAAGACUGAUCAGCAAUUUGAAUUCAUGAUGCAGCUUUAUGCAGCUCUGAUCCUGAGUGUGACUCUGUCUGCAGCAUGUGGAUUAAGAUGCUACACAUGCUUAGCUGCCGAUCCUAAAUCCUGCAUAGACACCACAUCUUGUCUUCCUGGCUUCGAGCGUUGUUACUCUCUCAAAGUAGUAGGUCUUAAUGUAGUUACAAAGGGCUGCCUAAACAGUGUAGCAUGUGUUUGGCCUAUGUCUUGCUGUGAAGGGGACCUGUGUAACAGCACUAUUCCAACUGGUCCCAGUGCCAUCCUGCUGCUGGUAUCUUCAGCCAUCCUCAAAUUUCUUUUCUGAGCCUGUAGAAUGAUGUUGUUUCCAUACUGCAUUUUUUCGUAUUCUAUUUUGUACAACUAGAGAAGAAAAUAAA
rnacentral:lncRNA from 1 species